rnacentral:rRNA from 1 species
GUAACAAGGUCUCCGUUGGUGAACCAGCGGAGGGAUCAUUAUAGAGUUUUCUAAACUCCCAACCCAUGUGAACUUACCAUUGUUGCCUCGGCAGAAGCUGCUCGGUGCACCCUACCUUGGAACGGCCUACCCUGUAGCGCCUUACCCUGGAACGGCUUACCCUGCAACGGCUGCCGGUGGACUACCAAACUCUUGUUAUUUUAUGGUUAUCUGAGCGUCUUAUUUCAAUAAGUCAAAACUUUCAACAACGGAUCUCUUGGUUCUGGCAUCGAUGAAGAACGCAGCGAAAUGCGAUAAGUAAUGUGAAUUGCAGAAUUCAGUGAAUCAUCGAAUCUUUGAACGCACAUUGCGCCCAUUAGUAUUCUAGUGGGCAUGCCUGUUCGAGCGUCAUUUCAACCCUUAAGCCUAGCUUAGCGUUGGGAGCCUACUGCUUUUGCUAGCUGUAGCUCCUGAAAUACAACGGCGGAUCUGCGAUAUCCUCUGAGCGUAGUAAUUUUUUAUCUCGCUUUUGACUGGAGUUGCAGCGUCUUUAGCCGCUAAACCCCCCAAUUUUUUAAUGGUUGACCUCGGAUCAGGUAGGAAUACCCGCUGAACUUAAGCAUAUCAA